rnacentral:lncRNA from 1 species
GCAGAAGGGCUGGGAGGUCCCCACCCCAGGCCCCCUCAUUUCCAGUGAGGCCUGCAGAAGACCCAGAAAAUUUCUCAUAGGCCCUGAGGAGGAAAAGAACAGAAAAUUAGUCUGUGUGCCAGGAAUCUGGGUGCCACUUAGGCGGGCCUGCUGGCUCAGGGUCUCUCACAGGCUGAAAUCAAGGUGUCACCUGAGGCUACCAUCAUCUCAAGGCUUAACUGGCAAAGGAUGUACAUUCAGCCACCCUAGAUGGUUGUUGGCAGGACGCAAACUCCUCGUGGGCUAUUGAAUUGAGGACCUCUGUUUAUUGUUCUUGUCAGCCCAAGGCUGCCCUGAGUUCCUUGCCAUAAGGACCUCUCCAUAAGGCAGCUUGCAACAUGGGAGGUGCUUCAUCAGAGCCAGCUGGUGACAGAGUACAAGCAAGAUGAAAGUGACAGUCUUCUAUAACCUGAUCUUGGAAGUGACAGCCUAUCAUUUUUGCCAUAUUCUUCUCAUUAGAAGCAAGUCAAUAGUCCCACACUCUAAGUAAGGAGAUUGCAGAAGGGCAUAAAUAGGAGGAGAUGGGGAUUGCUGAAGGCCAAUUCAGAAGCUGCCUGCCUAGAACCAAGGAGUAUACGAAGCAUGCACAAGAUGGUUCAUCCUGGCAGAGGAGGAACAGUUCUUCCCUCAUAACCGAGCUGGAGAGGCACACGUGGCAGAAGGUAGAGGUGCGAAUUCACAGAAAUCAAGGAUGUAAGAUGAAGGUAUGUCUUCCAACAUACGGCAACAUCCAGUUGAUUCACUGAACUGAGAAAUGGGUGUAUACCUGUAAAAGAAAGGAAGAGCUAGCUUCAGUAUGCAGCCUAGUGAAACUGGAAUCAGAACAGAAUGAAUACGAUGAACUGGAAAUGUCAUGUUAUUGAGCUACAGUCUCUAGAACAGAGACAGUGGCAUCAGUUGGAGUCCUUAAUAUUUGAGGUUUCUUGGCUAAACUAACUUCCCCCAGAGAGGGCUAAGACGGAGGGCUAAGACGGGUAAUACCAUGUCUGCCUGUGACUCUCCUUUUAGUCAAGCUUCUGAGUGGGCUCCACCUCCAUUCAGGAUGAUGGUAGUAACACAGCUAAUGAAAGACAGUUUUCACUGGGUUAGAAAGUCCUAACGGCCAUUUUUUUUCUUUCUUGAGAGUUCUGUGUAAUUUUUUCUUUUUGAAGAGUUCUGUGUUUUUUCAGAGUUCUGAUCUCAUAUGAAAUGAUUUCAAAGUUUAGCUCUCAGUGGGAAAUAAUUUGUCCACAUUCCAGGGAAACAGGAGAAAGCCCCUUAGUUCUAAGAGUAGUACUGACAGUCAUCACCUACAGUCAAAUGAUAUUUUGGGCAAGUCUGCAUUCUUUUAUGAGCCACAAAACCAUAUAGCAGGAACUAAGAUGCAGAGACCCUGUAAUAAAUACAUUCCUUCCACCAGCUCUUAGACAUCGUUCAUAAAUUGUUCCAUUUGACAGUGAACAGGGAAAAUGGAUGAGAAACGUGGCCUCAAGCAUAUAAUGUAUAUGUGGUCAAAGAGUCAUGACCCAUGUGGCCACAUUACCAGAUUAUAUCUUAUUCUCACUUUCUCUACAAUAGGAUAAGCACCAACAGGAUAGAAAUACACUCUUCUCUCCAAUUUAAUUAUACCUUUAUUAUUACUUUUCUUAUAUGCACACAAGCAGCAACAGCUAAUGUAAAGUGGAAAUUGUAAUACAAUUUCCAUACUGUGUCUUUGUUGACUACAAAAUUAUAUAAAAAAUGUGUCUCACCCUUUAGUUGGGACCAUUUAGAAGCCUGAGGGCAAUUACACAGAGUGUAUUGGAGUUAGCCGCACAAUCUCCUAAUGGCAGCUUGGCCCAAAGCCAAGCUUUAAGCCAAACCUCAGGGAAUUCAAAUUUAAAAGUCAGCUACAUUAGUGGUAGUGAUUCAGUUUGGAGAAGAUAUCGCUUUUCGUGAUUUAUUACAGCCAGUGCUUUCAGUACAUUUAAAAGAUGGUCUAGCUUAGUUGCAUUUUCAAAGGAGCGCUACUGCAUAAAAUGAGGAACAUCUGAACUGAAAGCUAUCAGAAUGGAAAAGCUUGACUAGGGCUUGAAUUAUGUGGAAAGCGUAAUUCUUAGAAAUAGGUCCUCAAACACACAAGAAUCUGCAAAAAUGAGCUAUACUUUCAACCCCCCAAUAUCUAACCCUCGUGAUCAUUUGGUAGAGAAGGGUCUGUUACUGUCAAGUAUUUUUAAAUGACUGCAAAGACAUUAAUUCCCUAGGUGCAGAAUAAUCAUUCAGUAUCAAGAAUAAACAUAUAAUUUAAAAUAUU